GCUUAUCUAACCAUACAAUCCUAUGCAUACAUCUAAGGUGAGUGUGUGCGUGCCGGUGCGUCAUAGUGUCCAUAGUCCAUAUUACAACAUUGCCUAAAUACAUUCUAUGGCCUCUUUGCCAAGCUACAAACCAAUGGUAAAAUAUUACAUCACCGAAUGAAUUACAAUUUGUAAAAAAAGAAAACUAAACUAACGGAGACAAUAGUGAAGAUAAUGAAGUGCUAUGAAGUGAUCAACAUGAAAGGAAAUGUUAGUAGAAAAUGGUAAAAAAAGGAAUAUGGCAUAAAGCGAUGGAAGAAAGUAUGGCAUAAGACGGUAAAGUGACGAUGAAAAUAAGCCAGAAACAUGUGAUGAAUAAUGCGCAUGAUGCAAGAAUAAAACUCAACACAUCAAAACAGUGACAUAUGCAUAGCAAACAGUAGCAAAAUUCACAUGGAAUAGCAUGCAAAUCAAAC
rnacentral:lncRNA from 1 species